GGAUCAAUAUGUUUGUCGUGCCUUGGUACGUACUAAUUUAUUGGUUUCUUCCUUCUGACGAACCUUGAUGUCAUUAAUUUGGUGUCUUGGGGAAUCAGGACUGUUACUUUGAAAAAAUCAGAGUGUUUAAAGCAGGCUCACGCUUGGAUACAUUAGCAUGGAAUAAUGAAAUAGGACGUUCGAUCCUAUUUUGCUGGUUUCUAGGAUUGACGUA
rnacentral:rRNA from 1 species